rnacentral:rRNA from 1 species
CUAGGAUUAGAUACCCUAUUAUUUAAAAUGUAAAAACUAAAGUAUUAAUAGUUAUGAUCUUUAAACUUAAAAAAUUUGGCGGUAUUUUAGUCUGUUCAGAGGAACCUGUUUUAUAAUCGAUAAUCCACGUUGGACCUUACUUUAAUUUAUUUAUUAGUUUAUAUACCGUCGUUAUAAAAAAUUUUAUAAGAAUAAUAAUUUUUAAGAUAAUAUAUCAGAUCAAGGUGUAGCUUAUAUUAAAGAAAAUAAUGGGUUACAAUAAAAAUAUUUAUAUGAAUAUAGGUAUGAAAAAUUUAUUGAAAGAGGAUUUGAAAGUAAAAUUAAAAAGAUUAUUAAUUUGAUUUUAGCUCUAAAAUAUGUACAU